rnacentral:misc_RNA from 1 species
GAUGAAGAACGCAGCGAAAUGCGAUAGGUAAUGUGAAUUGCAGAAUUCAGUGAAUCAUCGAAUCUUUGAACGCACAUUGCGCCCUUUGGUAUUCCUUAGGGCAUGCCUGUUCGAGCGUCACUACACACCUUAUCACAAUAUUUGUGGUCUUGGCAGGAGUGAAUUGCUGGUCUAUGGAAGUAUUCCAGCAGUACACAAUGCUAAAAAAUAUGGGAAGGUUACCAGAUAUGAACAACAGACUUUGUAAAUGGUUGUAGGACCUAGAUCAGUCACAAGUCAUGUCUGGUCCCUUACCUUAAGGACCCACCAUCCUAGAUGAACUAUGGGUUGACCUCGGAUCAGGUAGGAAUACCCGCUGAACUUAAGCAUAUCAAUAAGCGGAGGA